AUUGAACGCUGGCGGCAUGCCUUACACAUGCAAGUCGAACGGCAGCACGGGAGCAAUCCUGGUGGCGAGUGGCGAACGGGUGAGUAAUAUAUCGGAACGUGCCCGGUCGUGGGGAUAACGUAGCGAAAGCUACGCUAAUACCGCAUACGAUCUACGGAUGAAAGCGGGGGAUCGCAAGACCUCGCGCGAUUGGAGCGGCCGAUAUCAGAUUAGGUAGUUGGUGAGGUAAAGGCUCACCAAGCCGACGAUCUGUAGCUGGUCUGAGAGGACGACCAGCCACACUGGGACUGAGACACGGCCCAGACUCCUACGGGAGGCAGCAGUGGGAAUUUUGGACAAUGGGCGCAAGCCUGAUCCAGC
rnacentral:rRNA from 1 species